UUACAAGUUUGCCACUCCAAUGAAUUAAGGUAUAAAUAUGACUUUAUAGCCAAAAUUCAUUUAGGGUUUUUCUUUUGGGGAAAGGAUGAGAACAUAAGCUCUCCUUUCUCUCUAAAGUGGCCGGCCUCCUUGGAGGGUUUAGCUAGCAAUCCUACUACUCCAAGGUCACUCAUUUCUUCUCCAAUCUAACCUUAGUGAAGAGACUUAGAGGUUCUCAAUUUUGGGAACUUGGAGAACCAUUUCAUCCAUCCAAAUCCAUAGAUCUAAGAUGGAAGGAAUGAAGGCCCUCUCUUUGGGUGAUUAGCCUUUGCUUAUGCAAAGAGGAAUCUACAAAGGUAUAAUUUCUCAACUAACAAAUGUUGUUUUAAGUUGAGUCAAGGUUCACCAAUCUACUAGGCUUUGAAUUUCAUGGUUGAUGUUUUGUUUUUGAGUGCAUGCAAGCAUGAUUCUGCCUUUUAAUUGUUAAUUGCAUGCUAUAGAUGUUGCUCAAAUGAACAUGUUUUUCAAAAUUUCCUUCAGUUCAAUGAUUCAUAUGUUCUUGCAUGAAAUUAUGAAGGCAAACAAAAUCCAAGUAACAAAGAUGAUUAAGAUUAAGGUGAAGGUUGUCCCCCAUGCAUUAGCAGAAAAACAGCUUAUGAAUCCUACUGUAUCCUCAAUCCUACUGCUCAUAACACCAAGAUAUAUAAAGUAAUAUGUAUUCAUGAAUUGGUUUACAAACGUCGAUGCCUGUAAUUAUUCUUCAAUAUGAUGGUAUUCCGAAAAGAAGAAGAGGUUUGAAAUUCGACAAGCUUGUAAUAGAUCUACUAUCAACUCUAUACAUGCAUAAAAUGAACAGAAAGAAAUCUUCUUUUUGUAAAGUCGGAUUGGGUGACACUAUAACCACUACACAGGACACUACGUAAUAGUCCAUUGAAAGGACAGUCAAGUGCACAAAAUUUUAACAUACUUUGGUUUAGCAGCUUUGCAUGAGGGUACUGGGUCAACAGCAAAAAAUCAUCUCCCACAAUGAGUUUUUUCUUUUUGGUCAAAUCUUGCUCAAUGAGCUUGGACUACUUGAAUUGAGAAACAAGUUAUCACAGCUGACAAUUUUAGAUUAUCAUAAAUAACUUAACCUUAUUUCGCCUAUUCAAGAUCUCUUAGAUUACCAUUUCUCACUACCUGUCAUGCCGCGCCUUAGCACCAUGACCACCUAAGAGUCCUUCAUCUCCCCUAAUUGAGAAUAAAACAUGAUAAGGCAGCACUAGAAAUGGCCAUUCGCACGCGAUACAUAAUUGCUACUUGCAAUUGUUUUUACAGUUUCAACACAAUACAAACCUUGGUCUCUCAAUAGCAUGAAUAAUGUAAUCAUAAUUGGUUAUGGUGAGCUACAAAUCAUCUACCCCUCCUUCCCUAACACACACACACACACAGAAACCCACCACCCUAAAAUUCGAUUUAACACUAAAACCCCCAAUUUCUAAUUUAAUUUUCCAAAUUGAAUCUAAUUACAAUACCACAAAUCUUCAAAUUAAGGCAUUAAAGCUUGAUUCUGACCUUCGAAAGAAGAAAAAUAAAGAAUUAAGCUUGAUUCUGACCUGGGUCUAUACCUGCUAGCUACGGGAAAAGAAUUAAGCUUGAUUCUGACAUCCAGUAGUGCAGUCGAGAGAAGAUGAGGAGAGGAUGCGGAUGAACGAUGAGGAGUAAGGCGAUAUGAGCGAGAGGGAAGAGAGAGGGCGAUAUGAGCGAGAGUGAAGAGAGACUAGUAUCGAGUUGUGAAACUUUUAAAAACAACGCCUAAUUUUAACAACUGCACCGCCAAAAUUAUUACAAAUGGCGCGACGGAUACAUUUGGACUGUCGCGCAAAGUGUUUUUGAGCGACGAAAACUUUGUCACGUCGAACAAGGUAUUUUAAAAAAUAUAUGAAAAAAUUAGUAUGCGAUCCCUAGUUUUUACUGUUUAUUGACUAAGACCUUAUUAGUUCUCAAAUUUUGAUUUAAGUUCUUAGCAUUAAUUUGAUAAUGAAUUUACAUGUUUAU
rnacentral:lncRNA from 1 species